GACGAACCGUGCAAACGUUGUUCGGAAUCACUGGGCUUAAAGGCGCGUAGGCGGGCAGCCAAGUCAGGGGUGAAAUCUUUCGGCUCAACCGGAAAAUUGCCUUUGAAACUGGCUGUCUCGAGGGAGGUAGGGGCAUGUGGAACUUCCGGUGGAGCGGUGAAAUGCGUUGAUAUCGGAAGGAACGCCGGUGGCGAAAGCGACGUGCUGGACCUCUUCUGACGCUGAGGCGCGAAAGCUAGGGGAGCGAACGGG
rnacentral:rRNA from 1 species